rnacentral:lncRNA from 1 species
GGAAGUCUAAAGAACUGCUUAUUGAAAGAUCCCAAAGGUGACACAGAUGCAUGAGGGAAAGUAUUUAGCUUUGAUAAUUAAUGAUGUUUGAGUAUUUACAGUGGCUUUACAAACAACAAGCUGUUGAUUAUGAGUCCCUCUCCAGAGGAGAAUUUCUGCUUCUACCUGGGAUCUACAGGGUGGCUGUUUGUCAACUUGGUAUCAUCCCUAUCUCUUGCCAGGGUAGUUCUGGUUCACGUUCUGCCAAAGAAAAGAAUUUGUUUGGCGCUUGGAAGGGGAAAUAAUAGGAAAAGCCAACAUUCCCUGGUAACAGCUAUGGACAGAAGUGGGAACUGUUGGCAGGCAUGAGGUUGUCACGGCUUCUGGGUAAACUACUGCUUUGGGGGCUGCAGGUGGCUGCGAGUGGACAGUAGCAGCUUCCCUGCUAUUCCUGGAAUGCCUGCAGUUCCUUACCUUCUCGUUCCUCUGGAUUUCCCGAAAGCCCUGCUGAACAUUCUGCCUGUUCUUCAUCCUUCCUACCCUUCCAAAUGUCAUGUAGGUUUCUAAUUCCCUGAAUUAAAUCCCCUCUACUUGAAAUGUCUC